CAGUUUUUAAUGGUGCAUGGUGUUUCCAUACAGCAGUUAUAUAACACUAUAAUAUUUUGUAACACUUGUUAUAUUUUGUUGCACACCGGUGUCAUUUUUAAGGUGCGUAUGACUAAACCAGUUUUAUAGCAUGUUGCAUGAUUUGGACGCUCAUUGAAGCCAACAUUACAUGAUUACUUACAAUUCGACGUUAUAUAACAUGGUAACAAUUUAUAAUUUUGUGAUAUUUCGCGAUAAAUGUUACGUAACAAAUGUUUUUCAACAUUAUGACUGCUGUAUGAUAUGCCGUUAUAUAAAUACACGCAAUAAUUGAAUAUGAAAGAUAAUACGCUAUAUAUACAUAGUAUGCGUAAGUUCACACGUCUUUUGAUGUAAUUAAUGCACAAUAUUUAUACAUACAUCAUAUUUCUUAUUACAUAAAAACUAAGAAAUUAUAUUUACUUUGUACAAUACUUAUGGGAUGUUUAUGCGCGUCGAAUUAAUGGUUCUGUAUAUUCUGCGCUCAACUCCUUGCAAUGUGCGAGAUAAAGUGAUCUUUUAUUAAUCUUAUACGUCUCCGCUCCGCUCCGCUUCAGUUGACAGGCAUCCUUAAGGUGACCUUCAAUGGGUCCACCGUUCCGUGGACAUAAUAUAUUCGACGCGCACAAUAUACAAAGAUUUUUGUUGUUAAUAUUUUUGCUAAGUACCGUAAAAGUUUUGAUUUUUUUCUAUUUUUUUUAAAAUUGUAAUAUGAAAGUCCGUACAUAAACGAGUACUAAAACUAAGUUACCAAAGUGUGGGUAAAAUGCAUUUUUAAAAAUAAACGUUAGUGAACGUCUUUGUGUGUAAAAUGUACGUGCCAUACACUGUGUUUUUGGAACUUUUUUAUUAAUGAAUACAUUAACUCAAAGUAGAGUUUAUUGCGCUGUUUACUUUUACAAAAUAAAAUAUAAAAUUGUAGCAUUCAUUGUAGUUAAGAGUUCUGAACCUGAAGAUAUCAUACUUAUUUCGUAUUUUUUUCAAAAAUAUUUCAGACUCAAUGCUAUUGAAUGCUUCACGUAGAUUUACAUUAUGGUAUCUACUAUCUACUUAUUUUGUUGAUUCAUGUUUUAAUAUAAAUAUUGUUUUUGAUUAUUUUUACCGAUGCUUUUUCAAGUCAAUUAUGGUGCAAGUAUGAUUAAUUUAUCACAUAACAUAAUAACUCCUUCGCAUUGCAAGAAAUUUAACUUAAUUGUUAACUCUCAUGAGACACAAUAUAAAGUAAUACAUAAUACAUAAAUAGUCAUGAGUAUACAAUAAUAUAAGAACAUGUAAAGGCACACAUGAUAUAAAACUGCUAGGUGAGAGUUUGCGUAUAAUCUUCACGAAUCUAUACGAGCCAACUUGGUUGGAGCUUGGUUGGAUGGAGAUGGAUCGGGAAUUCGUAGUGCGGUUAAAUUAGACCGACGAAAAAACCAUAAACCAUUGUGAACCAUCCUUGAUGAGUUUGUCGUUAAAGAUUAGGUACCUAUACUUUAAUUUCCGUUUGUUAAUGACAACUUGACCAAAUCGAAUGAGGCGAUUUCAUUCAGUUUUUCUAAUUUUUCCGAUUUUAUUACGAAAUUCUUGCAAUGCGAAGGCCUAGGUUUAUAACAUGAUGAUGUAAUAACUUGUUGUAAGGUAAAUUAUAAACGGUCGAUGAAUAGAUCAAGUGUAUGGGUUUACAAUGCAAAUAAUAAAUGGAUUAAAAUUAAUGUA